CUGUCUCCCAGAAGGACCACCCAGAUACAGAAGAGACAGGAAAGCGUGAGACAUGAGGCAAGCACAUCCCGGUCAGCCCAGACGACCCCUCACAUCCCAAGAAGCCACAACCUGAGACCUGCUCACCCACAAGCCUCCACCUCUCACUCCUGGUUUUCCCAGGGAUGUCUUCUGGGACCAUCCUACUUCAAAUGAUAUUCCCGGGUGUCUAGAUAGCUCACUCAGACAGCCACAGCAUCUUAAGAGGAGGAGCAUCUCAGAAGACCUGGCUGUCAACUCAACACAUACCACUCUCCACAGUUAGGAGGAUGCCUCAUGAGGUCAGGGAUGUUACCCCUUCACUGCAGUAUCCCCAGCACUAGAAGGGUCCUCAGGACAAGGUAAGUAUGCCAGUUGUCCGAAUGCUAGUUGUCCAAUGAAUGAGGCAACUCCGCGAAGAGGGGGCGGGGGCGAAGAACCGCACAGGGUAUAAAGCAAGGGCGUCGGGCUGACAAUUGGUUGGAAAACGAGGGUGCAGGGGAGAGGCAGCGCAUGGGGUGGCCAGCCGGCACGAGCUGCUCACGAGCGGGUGUGCUCAGGCAACUGCAGGCGCGAGGGGGACGCAACCCGGACAGAACCGGUCCUCCCAGGUCUCCCACCACUGCAGCCUCAGCUCUGCGCAGCCACCCAGGCUCUGCGGGACCGGCCCGCACACUUGCCGCGCCAGCCGGUGGGAACCGGACUCCAGACCCUCCCUAAGGCCCAGAACGAAGGAAAAACGAGGGGGCGGCGCCGGCUGCAGGUCAGCGCCCCGCGGUGCUCAGCGCGGCCUCUGUGCGGACCACAGCCUCAGCCAGGCCGGGUUCAGAGAACCGCACUCACCCCACUCCGGUCCCCGCCCCGCGGCCAGGACCUACUCACCCUGGGCCACUAUCCCGGACCGCGCGCAGAGGGCGCCGGGAGCAGGCGGUCCGGUUCCGGCCCGCCCCCGGAAACGGGUCUCAGCGCCGCUCUAGGAAGCUCGGAGGACCACGCGCCUCGGUGGGCGCCUUUUGGCUCCUACGGCGCGAGGCUGGUGAUGGAAGAGGGCCGCUGAGGGCGGGGCGCUGUUCUGGACCUGAUCUCCCGUGAACCCCCAAAUCCGAGGGGCGAGCCCGCUGCGGGAGUCGGGGAUCCCGGCGCAGAGCCCCCAAGCCUGAGAGCAGACGCGUCCACGCGAGACCUCGAGAAAGGCCAAUGGAAAAGUCGAGCAUCAUUCCAGACGACCGGGUGCUGAGGCAGCGUCCUUUCUCUUUCAACUUUUUGUUGUUAGAUAAUUAUAAAAUCAUGCAAGUUGCAAAGGCA